UUUACAUGUUAGAGGGAGUGGGGUAUAGUGACACAGUAACAGAGGGAUUGAGGGCCCUGCUCAGUGAGUUUACAUGUUAGAGGGAGUGGGGUAUAGUGACACAGUAACAGAGGGAUCGAGGGCCUGCUCAGUGAGUUUACAUGUUAGAGGGAGUGGGGUAUAGUGACACAGUAACAGAGGGAUCGAGGGCCUGCUCAGUGAGUUUACAUGUUAGAGGGAGUGGGGUAUAGUGACACAGUGACAGAGGGAUUGAGGGUCCUGCUCAGUGAGUUUACAUGUUAGAGGGAGUGGGGUAUAGUAACACAGUAACAGAGGGAUUGAGGGCCCUGCUCAGUGAGUGUACAUGUUAGAGGGAGUGGGGUAUAGUGACACAGUAACAGAGGGAUUGAGGGCCCUGCUCAGUGAGUUUACAUGUUAGAGGGAGUGGGGUAUAGUGACACAGUAACAGAGGGAUUGAGGUCCUGCUCAGUGAGUUUACAUGUUAGAGGGAGUGGGGUAUAGUGACACAGUAACAGAGGGAUCGAGGGCCCUGCUCAGUGAGGUUACAUGUUAGAGGGAGUGGGAUAUAGUGACACAGUAACAGAGGGAUCGAGGGCCCUGCUCAGUGAGGUUACAUGUUAGAGGGAGUGGGGGUAUAGUGACACAGUAACAGAGGGAUUGAGGCCCUGCUCAGUGAGUUUACAUGUUAGAGGGAGUGGGGUAUAGUGACAGUAACAGAGGGAUUGAGG